rnacentral:rRNA from 1 species
GUCAACAGUGAAACUGCGAAUGGCUCAUUAAAUCAGUUAUAGUUUAUUUGAUGCUAUAGGUCGUAAGACCACUACAUGGAUAUCUGUAGUCACAUAGAGCUAAUACAUGCAAUAUAGUCUGACUUUUUGGAAGGACUAGCACUUAUUAGAUAUUAAACCAAUCCUCGCAAGAGGUUUUAUGGUGAUUCAUAGUAACUGAACAAAUCACAUAGUCUCGUACUGGUGAUGUUUCAUUCAAAUUUCUGCCCUAUCAACUUGAUGGGUAGUAUAUAGGACUACCAUGGUUAUAACGGGUAACGGAGGAUUAGGGUUUGAUUCCGGAGAAGGAGCAUGAGAAACGGCUACUAUUUCUAAGGAAAGCAGCAGGCGCGCAAAUUAUUCAAUGGAAACAAAUUUCCGAAAUAGUGACAAAAAAUAUCAAUGCCAGGUACAAUGUAUUUGGUAAUUGGAAUGAGUACAAUUUAAAUCCCUUAACAAGUAACAAUUAGAGGGCAAGUCUGGUGCCAGCAGCC